rnacentral:lncRNA from 1 species
GGGUAAAGCAAAGUCUUCAAGGGAAGAUAACAAAGGAUGAAACAAUGGUGUUGUGUGACUUCCUAGUGUGAAUCAUGGCAAUACAGUGAAAGACAGUGAUUUACUGCUUUUGAGGGCGUGCAUGUAUAUGAUUAACGGAUGGAAGUGCAGGACUCCAAGAUUUACUUCCUUCCCUUUCCAGCAGAAUUACCUGAGACGAGUAAAAUCUACUGGUGGAGUCACUCCAUUAUUCUUAUCUGUGGAGAUCUAGAUCUUGAUUUGAAAGUUUCUGAGAAAAUCUUCAGCUCAGACUUGAGGGUCAACUUUACCAGCUGAAGGAUCUGCAUUUACUGCUCAACCACAUCUAAUUUGAUGUCCUCUGCAGAUUUAAAAUGUGUGCCUUCUUUUCCGUCACCAAGUCAUCCCUGGGUUACUACUGAACAUCCUUCUCAAUUCCCCCCGACCCAUGGAUGGCUGUUCUCCAUUGUCUGUUUCACCAGAUGUCCUCAAAACAAACAGACAGAAGAAGGAAGUGGCUAAUGGAGCUGUGGAGUCCAAGUGUGACUGCCAAGAGGAAUCCAGCAAAGCCAAAAAGCCCAAGCAUGUAGCCCUGCCCGAAGCACGCCACACGCAUGGAAAACCCAGAGGAAAUGAGUGAGGAUCAAUGGGAAGAAGAGAGCCAGCCAGGUUCGAUGCCUUCUCCAUCCGUCAGUGAGGGUGUGGAGAGCCUGCAGGCGUGUGCCUCCCUCUGUAACUUGCUAUUCCUUGUGUAAUGUCAAGUGGAAGUGUGAAGCACCACAAACUGCUCUGAGCAGAGCCCACUUCCCUUCACCCACGGAGAGCGUGAAGCAGUUACACCAACAUCAAUCAAGGAAAACCCACAGGCUGAGCUCACACGGUUGAAGCAGGAAGUUGAAGAUUUGUCCAGGAGCAGAUAGCUGAAGAGAGAGAGAGAGAAGAGAGAACGGCUUACAGCUCAGGUCCUCUCUCCAUGCUUAGGAACCACUACAAAUGCUACUGCCUUGAGUCUCAUUUUGUUUCCCUCUGGAAACCACAUGUGUACCUUGUUUGCAACAGUAUGGUUCUCGAUCUACACAUAGGCUGGAAUGCAGUGGUGUUGGUGUGAUAAGGGUCAGUGCAGUCUCAACCUCCUGGGCUCAAGUGAUCCUCCUGCCUCAGCCUUUUGAGUAGCUGGGACCACAGGCUCACAGGCAGAAGGAAUUUUCCUUGUCUUGGAUGAGACUUUUGACUUGGACUUUUGGGUUAAGUUCUGGAGACCAGAAGGCCAAAAUCAAAAGUAUGGGCAGGCUUGAUUUCUUUAGAAGACUCCAGCGGAGAACUGUGUCUCCUUGCUUCUGAUUCUACAUCUCCAUCCAUGGGCCACUGUUUCAGCAACCUCAGCCAGUGCAACACAACCUCAGCCAAGAAGAUUUGUUAGACUUUGGAUGGUGGAGACCUGUGCCUGCUACUUCUCUCAUCUCCUGAUACCUAAUGCAUAGUGUUCAGGCACCGAGGAAGAGAACCAAUGGCAGAGGCCACAUGUGCAAGCAAGAUGGGAGUCUGGAGAGCCUCAGGCUAAAUCACGAGUGCUCAGCCCUCUCCUCUUUGUAAGGGCAACCGGGUCAUAUCUGCCAGCAUAGAACUGCUCUGUCCACAGCCCUAAAAUCUAAUACCUAGAACAAUAAAUGCACUUAAGCACGUCAA